rnacentral:rRNA from 1 species
AUGAACGCUAGCUACAGGCUUAACACAUGCAAGUCGAGGGGCAGCAUUUUAGUUUGCUUGCAAACUAAAGAUGGCGACCGGCGCACGGGUGAGUAACACGUAUCCAACCUGCCGAUAACUCGGGGAUAGCCUUUCGAAAGAAAGAUUAAUAUCCGAUGGUAUAUUAAAACCGCAUGGUUUUACUAUUAAAGAAUUUCGGUUAUCGAUGGGGAUGCGUUCCAUUAGUUUGUUGGCGGGGUAACGGCCCACCAAGACUACGAUGGAUAGGGGUUCUGAGAGGAAGGUCCCCCACAUUGGAACUGAGACACGGUCCAAACUCCUACGGGAGGCAGCAGUGAGGAAUAUUGGUCAAUGGACGAGAGUCUGAACCAGCCAAGUAGCGUGAAGGAUGACUGCCCUAUGGGUUGUAAACUUCUUUUAUAUGGGAAUAAAGUAUUCCACGUGUGGGAUUUUGUAUGUACCAUAUGAAUAAGGAUCGGCUAACUCCGUGCCAGCAGCCGCGGUAAUACGGAGGAUCCGAGCGUUAUCCGGAUUUAUUGGGUUUAAAGGGAGCGUAGGUGGAUUGUUAAGUCAGUUGUGAAAGUUUGCGGCUCAACCGUAAAAUUGCAGUUGAAACUGGCAGUCUUGAGUACAGUAGAGGUGGGCGGAAUUCGUGGUGUAGCGGUGAAAUGCUUAGAUAUCACGAAGAACUCCGAUUGCGAAGGCAGCUCACUAGACUGCAACUGACACUGAUGCUCGAAAGUGUGGGUAUCAAACAGGAUUAGAUACCCUGGUAGUCCACACAGUAAACGAUGAAUACUCGCUGUUUGCGAUAUACAGUAAGCGGCCAAGCGAAAGCAUUAAGUAUUCCACCUGGGGAGUACGCCGGCAACGGUGAAACUCAAAGGAAUUGACGGGGGCCCGCACAAGCAGUGGAGUAUGUGGUUUAAUUCGAAGCAACGCGAAGAACCUUACCAGGUCUUGACAUCCCGUGCAUAGCUAAGAGAUUAGUGAAGUCCUUCGGGACACGGAGACAGGUGGUGCAUGGUUGUCGUCAGCUCGUGCCGUGAGGUGUCGGCUUAAGUGCCAUAACGAGCGCAACCCUUAUCUUUAGUUACUAACAGGUCAUGCUGAGGACUCUAGAGAGACUGCCGUCGUAAGAUGUGAGGAAGGUGGGGAUGACGUCAAAUCAGCACGGCCCUUACGUCCGGGGCUACACACGUGUUACAAUGGGGGGUACAGAAGGCAGCUACCUGGUGACAGGAUGCUAAUCCCAAAAACCUCUCUCAGUUCGGAUCGAAGUCUGCAACCCGACUUCGUGAAGCUGGAUUCGCUAGUAAUCGCGCAUCAGCCAUGGCGCGGUGAAUACGUUCCCGGGCCUUGUACACACCGCCCGUCAAGCCAUGAAAGCCGGGGGUACCUGAAGUACGUAACCGCAAGGAGCGUCCUAGGGUAAAACUGGUAAUUGGGGCU